rnacentral:rRNA from 1 species
GAUGAACGCUGGCGGCGUGCCUAAUACAUGCAAGUCGAGCGAACAGACGAGGAGCUUGCUCCUCUGACGUUAGCGGCGGACGGGUGAGUAACACGUGGAUAACCUACCUAUAAGACUGGGAUAACUUCGGGAAACCGGAGCUAAUACCGGAUAAUAUAUUGAACCGCAUGGUUCAAUAGUGAAAGACGGUUUUGCUGUCACUUAUAGAUGGAUCCGCGCCGCAUUAGCUAGUUGGUAAGGUAACGGCUUACCAAGGCAACGAUGCGUAGCCGACCGGAGAGGGUGAUCGGCCACACUGGAACUGAGACACGGUCCAGCCUCCUACGGGAGGCAGCAGUAGGGAAUCUUCCGCAAUGGGCGAAAGCCUGACGGAGCAACGCCGCGUGAGUGAUGAAGGUCUUCGGAUCGUAAAACUCUGUUAUUAGGGAAGAACAAAUGUGUAAGUAACUAUGCACGUCUUGACGGUACCUAAUCAGAAAGCCACGGCUAACUACGUG